GGGAUUUCUAGCGGGUAUAGCGGAAUGGUAGGGAAGUCUGACCCGCAAACAAGGGUAGACGCAAAAUACCCUGCACUGCUAUUUAAGCAGCAUUUAACUGCUUAUGUGGAGAAGCUAUACGGUAUGAUUCGAGACAGUCUAAAGAAAGAUAUCAGUCCAUUGCUAACUUUGUGCAUACAGGCACCACGAUCUGCAAGAGUA
rnacentral:misc_RNA from 1 species